GGCUGUUUUGUUUUUUGCCUUUGAAUAGAUGCAAGGAGAAGUAAGCCCCAGUCCUUCCCUUAUUGAUAGAACCAUCAGGAUGAGAAAGGAAACAGAAUCUAGGAAAGUGGUUUUAGCCUGGGGACUUCUAAAUGUAUCCAUGGCUGGAAUGAUAUAUACUGAAAUGACUGGAAAGUUAAUUAGUACAUAUUAUAAUGUGACAUACUGGCCCCUCUGGUAUAUUGAACUCGCCCUCGCCUCACUCUUCAGUCUUAAUGCCUUGUUUGAUUUUUGGAGAUACUUCAAAUAUACUGUAGCACCUACAAGUCUGGUAGUUAGCCCUGGACAGCAAACCUUGUUAGGGCUGAAACCAGCUGUGGUGCAGACCACACCUCCCCGUGAUUUGGCGGCCACCCAAAUCUCUCCGUCCCCUCCUUCCCCUUCGAUUCAAGGUCAGAGUGUGUUGAGUUAUAGCCCAUCGCGCUCGCCCAGUACCAGUCCCAAGUUUGCCACCAGCUGCAUGACUGGGUAUAGUCCUCAACUGCAAGGCCUGUCGUCAGGAGGCCUUGGCUCGUACAGCCCUGCUGUGACUUACUCGCCUGUCAGUGGCUAUAGUAAGUUGGCGAGCUUUAGUCUGUCUCCUUCUUCUCCCUACCCUACCACCGUGGGCCCUGUGGAGAGCAGUGGAU
rnacentral:lncRNA from 1 species